rnacentral:lncRNA from 1 species
GAUACAAACGAAUGUCUACCAGAUUCACCUUGCCAUGCGAAUGCAACAUGUAAUAACACACAAGGAUCUUACGUCUGUACAUGUGAUUCCGGCUACAGUGGUGAUGGAUUUACAUGCAAUGGUAACUUAUACACAAAACGAGUAUAGUAGUGGCAACAACCACAACAAACAUCUCUAAAUAAUCAAUAACCUAAUGUUUCUGUAUUACUUAGAUACAAACGAAUGUCUGCCAGAUUCACCUUGCCACGCGAAUGCAACAUGUAAUAACACCGAAGGAUCUUACCUCUGCACAUGUCAUUCUGGAUACAGUGGUGAUGGAUUUACAUGCAAUGGUAAAACAUUAAUGCGCAAAAUUAAUAUUCGAGAAUCAAUAACCAAAAUAAACAUCUAUAAAUAAUGUAUAACUUUAUGUUUGUUUAUUACAUAGAAACAAACGAAUGUCUACCAGAUUCACCUUGCCAUGCGAAUGCAACAUGUAAUAAUACCGAAGGAUCGUACAUCUGCACAUGUGAUUCUGGAUACAGUGGCAACGGAUUUAC